rnacentral:ribozyme from 1 species
GAGCCGCUAAGGUUAAAAAGCAAAGCGAGAUGCGCCUCAAGGCAAGCCCCGGGAAAUAGCCGGCGGUUGAGAAAG